ACCAUCUUCGUUCAGACAGCAGCUGAGGUCCACGCCGUGGGAAAGCAGCAGCUGUGUGGUUUCCAGGCAGAAUUUACCAAUCUCUGCGGCGUCCUCCGUGCUGGCCUCCAGAGCCUCCUUCACCAAGAACACCAGGGAGGACUCCACCGUUUCACCGUCUACAGUGGCAGCACUCCAUACUCCUGGGGAACCUGAAGAAACAGGAGUAUGAGACGAUCUGUCAGCUGAAGCAAGCUUCACCAACACAUGAUGCUGCCACGCCAAAUUCCAUCCACACAUCGCUUAUAGCAGGGGUCUUCAAUGUUUACCAGGCCAAGGACCCCCAAACUGAUGCCUCAUUAUGCAAAUGAGGACGGCUGUCCUUAGAGGGUCAACUUCUUAGACACAACACAAGCCUUGACACAAUCAUUGCUACGAGCGCGGCUUCCUUCUAGAAAUGGCGCCUAUGUAAGUGAGAAGACGAUGUACAGUCAUUGGCCAGGUCAUGUGACCUGAAAGAACGUAUCGCUUUAUGGCUACAGGUUCUUAUAUCGUCAUGUAGCUAAGGCUUUUGCUCUACUGUUUUUCCGCCUGCUCAGGUUAACCAA